rnacentral:lncRNA from 1 species
AGGGGAGCCUGGGAGUAACUGUAAAGUUAUCUCCGUGUGACCUAUAAGUCACGUGUUCGAGUCGUGAACGCAACAACUAAUGCUUCAUUACGGUAGACUGUCUACAUGGCCUGCAUGAAUGCAGAAUGCUAUUUUUUAAUCAGCUUAUAUAGUUCAUCUAACAUGAAAAUUAAUCAUAAUUAUAGGGUCAGUGGAAAAUUUUCAUCAUAUCCAAAUUAACAUAAGAUCAAGAAUUAUUGGCAAACUACACAUAAAAGAUAGAGAUCAUCCUAAACUUCAUCCUCGUUCUUCCUCAAAAUAUUUCAAAUUUAAUCAUGUACCAUAAAAUAUAAUAUUUUUUCGGCUUAACCUAUUUUCUUGCGAAACUCAUUAGCCUGACUAAUCUGGAUCCAUGCCGAGUAGCUCAAGGUAACCGCUAUACUUAUAAUCCAUUAAUUUAUUUAGUCAAUCAAAAUAUUGUCCCAUGAAGUACACAUCCUUUAGGAUUUUUCCCUUUCAUAUACAAACUUACAUGAUCCCUAAUUUAUAAACCAAAUUCAUGUAUUAUAUUACAUAUUUUUUCCCAUUCUACACAGAGUAAUGAAAUAGAAAAUCACCCCUUUUAAAAAGCUGCAACCAUUGAGGCCAAAACAACAAACAAACCAAAGGAAACCUUCAAUUUUCCAGCAGAUGAUCCAGCCGGUGGGGGCGACUGAACAUCGGCCGGAGGAGAAUCAUCGGCCGGUGACGGUGAACUAGCCGGAGAAUCGGCAUCCUCAGAAGGAGAAGGAGCCUCUGUUUCUUCAACAGGGGACUCUGCUUCUUCUUCUUCAGGGGACUCUGCUUCAUCAUCAGAAGGUGGUGGUGAACUCUUAGGUGAAGAUGGUGCAGUAGCCUUAGGUGGUGGAGCUGAAACUGGUGCAAGUGUUCCAUCAAGUCCAGGUGUAACCAUUGGCUGAGAAAUUCCAAGAAUUGAGAUGUUAUAAGGCUGAUUCAUUACAGAUUUUUCGAGCCUCGAAUCGCGUUGAGCGCCUUUAACAGCUGAUCCAAAUACAAAACUACCAUCUUUAGCUGUCACAUUCAAGAAACCUUGGUCAUAUGCUGCUUUACCAGAUUGUUGGUACAUAUUUGUCAUUUUUGCUGUUUUUUCCUUCAUACUUCUGAGUUUCGGGAUAUCAUAGUAAUCUAAUAUAACAUAGGUUGAUAAUUCUCUCUUGAGAACAUCAUCUGAUUUUGAGGUAAGAUCACCAAUUGCACCAUUUGGAACGGCCAAAAUUGUAAUUGUG